rnacentral:lncRNA from 1 species
UUUAUUUCUUUUAUAAUUUAAUUAAAUAUUGUAACUAUAUUUUUAUUUUUUAUAUAGUAUAUUAGUUAAAUAAUAUUGAUUGUUAUAUAUUUUUAGUAAUUUGAUGCAUCAUGCAGGCUUAUUGGUAAUGAAUAAAAAAUAAACUUAGUGAGAUUGAUGCACAAUAUACUACAGCAAAUUUUGCACUUAAAAAUAUUUUAAACAAUAACCAGCGAUGCUUUAAAGCAUUGUCAAGAAUAAUCUCGACAUUUGUAAAAGUGUCAAGUAAAGAAUCGUUAAAUAAAUAUGUCAUGAUAAAUAUAUAUACCGACGUUUUAAUAUAGAGUCGAAAAAUUUUUAUCAGUAUUUGAUAAAAAUAUGUUUAUUGGCGGCGCUUAAUUAUAGUAUCAAUAUAUUCCAAAUAUUAAAGACGCUAGAAUGAAUUCUAAAAUAUAUUUUAUUGUAGUGGUAUAUUA